rnacentral:lncRNA from 1 species
UUUCUGAAAUUCAUUAUUAAAUCCAUGACUAUUUUCAUGCUAAGACAUCAUAAUCAUGUUCUCAUAAAGGAUAUGAAGAUUCACGCCUUGAUAACUAAGUUGGAUUUACGAGAAAGGGUGUGGUUGGUUUUUGGCUAAUUACAAUGAAGACAAUUGAAAUACUGGCAGAGGUGGUAAGAACCCGAUUUACAAUAAUAUACACAUUUUGAACCACGGGGUGUCAGCCCAGUGGCCACUGGCACCCAUCUAAAACCGGUUCGGGAGUCCAAAGUGGUGCAGGUUCGAAUCCUGCUUGCAGGCUCUUCGCUCCCCUCGAACUCGGCUGGGUAGUCACUACCAGACAUCGUUGCCGAGUCAUUAGCUUGGGAAGGGAGAUCCCUUCCGCAGUCAGCAGUGCCGUGCAAUUACCCUUCCUUUCACAUUUUGUAAAAUUUAAAGUAUCGUUUAUGAGUACUGAAAAGAUAUUAUCAGAUC